rnacentral:rRNA from 1 species
CAAUAGCGUAUAUUAAAGUUGUUGCGGUUAAAAGCUCGUAGUUGGAUUUCUGCUGAGGACGACCGGUCCGCCUCUGGGUGAGUAUCUGGCUCGGCCUUGGCAUCUUCUUGGGGGAACGGUAAACUGCACUUUGAGACUGUGUGGUGCGGUAUCCAGGACUUUUACUUUUGAGGAAAUUAGAGUGUUUCAAGCAGGCGCACGCCUUGAAUACAUUAGCAUGGAAUAAUAAGAUAGGACCUUGGUUCUAUUUUGUUGGUUUCUAGAGCUGAGGUAAUGAUUAAUAGGGAUAGUUGGGGCGAUUCGUAUUUAACUGUCAGAGGUGAAAUUCUUGGAUUUGU